rnacentral:lncRNA from 1 species
CACAGACCUGCUCGCUUUCAUUUUCCCUGAGUGGAAAAGCCUGAAGCUUUCAUGAGAUGCCCAGUCUUCUGGCCAGCAGAAUUGUGAGCCAAAAUGGACUGUUUUUCUUUAUAAAUUACCCAGUCCCAGGAUUCAUGACUACAACCCCAAAAUACGGCACUUCUGCCUGUGUGGAAACAACAGAAGCAGGAAGAUUACUCUCAUUUUUCUCUGGCCUUUUUCCCUUGAAGCAGACUAUAAAGAAGAAUCUGACCUUCCUCUGAAGGAAACCUUCAUUCCAGACAUACCCUCCCUAUAUCCAAAGAACAUCUUUAUCUUUAAAGACACAGAGAUGUCAAGAAGAAUCUGAACAAACAGGCUUUGCCAGAUCCCCCAGUUUACUAAUAUUGAACCAUACUCUUUUGUUCUUCAAUCAUACUUCUGCAUGAUGUCCAUAAAAAUACACAGUUUUCCCCAUUCCUUUUGGGUAUUUAUUCCCGAAAGCUUCUGUGUCAUGUAAAACUUACAUUAAAU